rnacentral:rRNA from 1 species
GUGCCAGCAGCCGCGGUAAUACCGGUGGCUCGAGUGGUGGCCGCUAUUAUUGGGUCUAAAGGGUCCGUAGCCGGCCUGAUAAGUUACCUGGGAAAUCCAGUGGCCUAACCAUCGGGCGGCCAGGUAAUACUAUCAGGCUCGGGACUAGGAGAGACCAGAGGUACUCAUGAGGUAGGAGUGAAAUCCUGUAAUCUUAUGAGGACCACCAGUGGUGAAGACGUCUGGUUAGAAUAGGUCCGACGGUGAGGGACGAAUGCUGGGGGCGCAAACCGGAUUAGAUACCCGGGUAGUCCCAGCAGUAAACGAUGCCAGCUAUGUGUUGCUGGAACCAUGGGUUCCAGCAGUGCCGAAGGGAAGCCGUGAAGCUGGCCACCUGGGAAGUACGGUCGCAAGGCUGAAACUUAAAGGAAUUGGCGGGGUGAGUACCACAACCGGUGGAGCCUGCGGUUUAAUUGGAUACAACGCCGGGAAUCUUACCGGAGGGGACAGCAGCAUGAAGGCCAGGCUAAAGACCUUGCCAGAUCAGCUGAGAGGAGGUGCAUGGCCGUCGCCAGUUCGUACCGUGAGGCAUCCUGUUUAGUCAGGCAACGAUCGAGACCCGCAGUCUUAUUU